UACGGAGGGUGCAAGCGUUAUCCGGAUUCACUGGGUUUAAAGGGUGCGUAGGUGGGCAAGUAAGUCAGUGGUGAAAUCUCCGGGCUUAACCCGGAAACUGCCAUUGAUACUAUUUGUCUUGAAUACUGUGGAGGUCAGCGGAAUAUGUCAUGGUAGCGGUGAAAUGCUUAGAUAUUGACAUAGAACACCAAUUGCGAAGGCAGCUGGCUACACAAAUAUUGACACUGAGGCACGAAAGCGUGGGGAUCAAACAGG
rnacentral:rRNA from 1 species